CCUACGGGUGGCAGCAGUGAGGAAUAUUGGUCAAUGGACGAGAGUCUGAACCAGCCAAGUAGCGUGAAGGAUGACUGCCCUAUGGGUUGUAAACUUCUUUUAUAUGGGAAUAAAAUGUUCCACGUGUGGGAUUUUGUAUGUACCAUAUGAAUAAGGAUCGGCUAACUCCGUGCCAGCAGCCGCGGUAAUACGGAGGAUCCGAGCGUUAUCCGGAUUUAUUGGGUUUAAAGGGAGCGUAGGUGGAUGGUUAAGUCAGUUGUGAAAGUUUGCGGCUAAACCGUAAAAUUGCAGUUGAAACUGGCAGUCUUGAGUACAGUAGAGGUGGGCGGAAUUCGUGGUGUAGCGGUGAAAUGCUUAGAUAUCACGAAGAACUCCGAUUGCGAAGGCAGUUCACUGGACUGCAACUGACACUGAGGCUCGAAAGUGUGGGUAUCAAACAGGAUUAGAUACCCGUGUAGUC
rnacentral:rRNA from 1 species